rnacentral:rRNA from 1 species
GUACACUCCUGCGGGAGGCAGCAGUGGGGAAUAUUGGACAAUGGGCGAAAGCCUGAUCCAGCAAUGCCGCGUGAGUGAUGAAGGCCUUAGGGUUGUAAAGCUCUUUUACCCGGGAUGAUAAUGACAGUACCGGGAGAAUAAGCCCCGGCUAACUCCGUGCCAGCAGCCGCGGUAAUACGGAGGGGGCUAGCGUUGUUCGGAAUUACUGGGCGUAAAGCGCGCGUAGGCGGCUUUGUAAGUUAGAGGUGAAAGCCCGGAGCUCAACUUCGGAGUUGCCUUUAAGACUGCAUCGCUAGAAUCGUGGAGAGGUGAGUGGAAUUCCGAGUGUAGAGGUGAAAUUCGUAGAUAUUCGGAAGAACACCAGUGGCGAAGGCGACUCACUGGACACGUAUUGACGCUGAGGUGCGAAAGCGUGGGGAGCAAACAGGAUUAGAAACCCGUGUAGUCCCA